UCAGUGGCGCACGGGUGAGUAACACGUGGGAACCUGCCCUUUAGUCUGGAAUAACUUAGGGAAACUUAAGCUAAUACCGGAUAUUCCCUCCGGGGGAAAGAUUUAUCGCUAAAGGAUGGGCCCGCGGUGGAUUAGCUUGUUGGUAGGGUAACGGCCUACCAAAGCGACGAUCCAUAGCUGGUUUGAGAGGAUGAUCAGCCACACUGGGACUGAGACACGGCCCAGACUCCUACGGGAGGCAGCAGCUAGGAAUAUUGGACAAUGGGGGAAACCCUGAUCCAGCCAUGCCGCGUGAGUGAAGACGGCCUUCGGGUUGUAAAGCUCUUUCAACUGUGACGAUGAUGACGGUAGCAGUAGAAGAAGCCCCGGCUAACUUCGUGCCAGCAGCCGCGGUAAUACGAAGGGGGCUAGCGUUGUUCGGAAUUACUGGGCGUAAAGCGCUUGUAGGUGGCAAUGCAAGUCAGGGGUGAAAUCCCGGGGCUCAACCCCGGAACUGCCUUUGAGACUGCAUAGCUUGAGUAUGAGAGAGGAUGAUGGAAUUCCCAGUGUAGGAGUGAAAUCCGUAGAUAUUGGGAGGAACACCAGUGGCGAAAGCGGUCAUCUGGCUCAUUACUGACACUGAGGGGCGAAAGCGUGGGUAGCAAACAGGAUUAGAUACCCUGGUAGUCCACGCCGUAAACGAUGUGUGCUCGUUGUUGGUGCUUUGCAUCAGUGACUGAGUUAACGCGUUAAGCACACCGCCUGGGGAGUACGGUCGCAAGAUUACAACUCAAAGGAAUUGACGGGGACCCGCACAAGCGGUGGAUCAUGUGGUUUAAUUCGACGAUACGCGAAGAACCUUACCAGCCCUUGACAUCCCGAUCGCGAAUCUCAGAGAUGAUUUUCUUCAGUUUGGCUGGAUCGGUGACAGGUGGUGCAUGGCUGUCGUCAGCUCGUGUCGUGAGAUGUUGGGUUAAGUCCCGCAACGAGCGCAACCCUCACUUUUAGUUGCCAUCAGGUUAUGCUGGGCACUCUAAAAGAACUGCCGGUGAUAAACCGGAGGAAGGUGGGGAUGACGUCAAGUCCUCAUGUCCCUUACGGGCUGGGCUACACACGUGAUACAAUGGCGGUCACAGUGGGCAGCGACAUCGCAAGGUGAAGCUAAUCCCAAAAUGCCGUCUCAGUUCGGAUUGUUCUCUGCAACUCGAGAGCAUGAAGUUGGAAUCGCUAGUAAUCGUAGAUCAGCUACGCUACGGUGAAUACGUUCCCGGGUCUUGUACACACCGCCCGUCAUCUCAUGGGAGCUGGUUUUACCCGAAGACGGUAGGCUAACUUUGGAGGCCGCUGGCCACGGUAAGAUCAGUGACUGGG
rnacentral:rRNA from 1 species